rnacentral:sRNA from 1 species
AAUAAUUGUCUAAUGGAUUUCGUAGUAUAACGUUAUUUAAUAAUAAUUAUAAACUGUAAAAUAUAAAUAUUUUAUAAAAAUAAAAUUUGCAAGUUUUAAUAUAUAUUACUUUUUAAAAAUAAAUCAUCCCGCGGUAUACCGCGGGUUAAAAUCUAGUUGACUUUUAUUCCUGAAAACAAUGAAGAACCAAAUCUAGGCAGUUGCAUCUGAUUCUGAUCACAUGGGAUCAUUAGGUGA